rnacentral:misc_RNA from 1 species
GAUGAAGAACGCAGCGAAAUGCGAUAAGUAAUGUGAAUUGCAGAAUUCAGUGAAUCAUCGAAUCUUUGAACGCACAUUGCGCCCGCCAGUAUUCUGGCGGGCAUGCCUGUCUGAGCGUCAUUUCAACCCUCAUGCCCCUAGGGCGUGGUGUUGGGGAUCGGCCAAAGCCCGCGAGGGACGGCCGGCCCCUAAAUCUAGUGGCGGACCCGUCGUGGCCUCCUCUGCGAAGUAGUGAUAUUCCGCAUCGGAGAGCGACGAGCCCCUGCCGUUAAACCCCCAACUUUCCAAGGUUGACCUCAGAUCAGGUAGGAAUACCCGCUGAACUUAAGCAUAUCAAUAAGCAGGA